rnacentral:rRNA from 1 species
UACGUAGGGUGCAAGCGUUGUCCGGAAUUAUUGGGCGUAAAGGGCUCGUAGGCGGUCCGUCACGUCGGCUGUGAAAACCCGGGGCUCAACCCCGGGCCUGCAGUCGAUACGGGCGGACUGGAGUUCGGCAGGGGAGACUGGAAUUCCUGGUGUAGCGGUGAAAUGCGCAGAUAUCAGGAGGAACACCGAUGGCGAAGGCAGGUCUCUGGGCAUUAACUGACGCUGAGGAGCGAAAGCAUGGGGAGCGAACAGG